GCCAUUCUGGCCGGGUGGUCCAAGGCACUGCGUUCAGGUUGCAGUCCUCUUCGGAUGCCGCAGGUUCGAAUUCUGCGGAUGACA
rnacentral:tRNA from 1 species